AUGGAUGUGAAACUCAAAAGUCUGCAAAUGGAUCACUCUUCUCAUUUUCACUUCUAACCAGUGCGAGUCCCUGUUUGGACCUCACAACCAGCCAUUCUAACCAGUGCCUUUGGAUGAAAAGCUGGAAAGCAUUCUGGGAUAUUUCUGAAAGGCCCAAAAGUCCUUUCUCAACUGUAACAAAUGUUCAAAAGCUAGUAACCUGAUUUGGCUCAGUGGACUAGUGUGCCCCCAACAGCAAAUCAGCUGAAUGCUCCAACUGCAUUUAAAGAUUAGGUGGUAUGCCUAGUGGCAUUUACUACCGAAACUGAACUUCCUGACACCCACAAUAGGCCAUCCUAACUAUUAUAACAUUCUUGGCAUUAUAAAGAGAAGAAUUUUAGAGUGUCUAAAAGCAAAAUAGGUCAUCCAAAAAUCCAGGUCAUGCAAAACUGCAUGUCAAGAUACUGGCAGAAGGCUCAACAUCAGGAAAAUAUGGUUGAUAGUCCAGUCCCCAAAAUGGGCUGCAAAUGGCAAUUAAAAAAUAAAAAAAAGCUCAGGAUUCAAACAAAAUUUUCACAUCAUUAAAAGGAAUUGAGUGCAUCUUUAAAAACAGCAGAAAAACUCCACUUCCAAGGGCUACUCUUGCCAAACAGAGGCCAGUGGAUAAAAGCACUAAACCCAAGUGUUCUGACACUGAUUUGGGCACCAAAACCAAACAUUUACAAGUGAAGAUGACAUUGAGAAGUGAGAUACUGCGGCCUAUUUCGGGUCUGGCUUUCCUGUGCUUGCUACAGAAAGCUACACUGUCUGCAGCCAAGUGCUCAGAGGUAGAGGAGCUAAAGCGAGUACAAAAGAGAAUGAGGUGGACAGUGGCUGAGGAAUCCAGCCUCCUGCGUAAGGGGCUACAGGGCAAACUUGGAAUAUUGUCUUUAAUGGGAGGUAGAAUUUUCUACACUAACUUAUCUGCCUUCAUCAGACAUCUUUUUCUCACACACAUGCAUAAAAUCACAUACAUAUAGUGGGCAAUUCAUAAUGAUAUUGCAACUUGCAGUGACUGCACACCUAUUCCAACAGAUAUUUUCAACCUAAAUUUUAUAUUAACCCCCAGCUUUUCUCUGGUAGAUUCAAGCCAAAUUUGUUCUUUUGAGAGCCCUCCUUUUGCCGGGCUUCUAAACAUACAUUUCACUUUAACGCCUACAUCUUUUGUCGCUAAAGAACAGCUGCGCUAAGUGGGUGCAAAGUGUUAUAACAUCUUUAUAAAUACAAAGUGCGAGAAAUAAUUUUCUUAGCCAAAAUACAAACAAAGCAACUAAAAGCUCUCAUAGCCUACUAUGCCAAGAAAUUGAUUUUUAUAAUCAAUGAUACAGCUAACAAAAUGCUUCUAAAGCUACCAAGGUUAUAGUGGAUGAGUAAAUAUAUUUAUAAACAUACAUUUAUGAAAAAAAGAUAUUAAGAAAAUAGCCAAACUUCCCACAAAAGUUAUUUGCAUGAACUAUCUUUAGUAUACCACUCUGUUCAAUGCACAUGCAUAUACAAUUGAAUUAUAUUAGUGUUAUUUUUAUUGGCCCACUUUUCCAAAAAGAAAACAGGCUCACUUUUCAAGUUACAUGAUUUAAAAUAAUUUUUGUAAAAAUAGCAAAUACCAUAUAAAUUUUACAUAUCUUUGCUAUCUGACUGAUAGCCAUUCUCGAAGUGGAUUUCAGCCACACUCUUAGUGACCCCUGCUUUAUCAUCUUGGCUUCCAGAGGAAACACAUUUUAAGCUUUGUUCCCUGUGUUGUAAUUCUGUUUUUGCAAUGGCUCUUUAAGAACCACUAGUUAGGAUUCUGUUAAUUUACAGGAAACUCAGUAGAUCAUCUUCAAAUAUGUCAAAAACAUCUGCUUUAAGAUGUGCUAAAUGCAGAAAUCUAAACCACAGGAAUUUCUCAGGUAGUUGUUAUUAGCUUUAAUGGUUUAGACUUAUGAUGCUGAAAAGAAAAAAUAAGUAUUUUGUCAAUCUACAGGUUCCCUUUCUUCUUUGUCCUCUUUUUCAACUUGAGACCAUAGUACAGUGGACCCUUGACCAACAUAGGUUUGAACUGCACGAGUCCACUUAUACCCAGGUUUUUUUCAAUAGUAAAUGCUACAUUACUACACCUCCAGCAGUUGGUUGAAUCCCCAGAUACAGAGGAACCUCAGAAACAGAGGCCCAAUUAUUAAGAUAUAGGCGGAUUUUCCACUUGGAGAGGGUUGCACUCUAACUCCCACAUUGUUCAAGAGUCAACUGUACUUAGUUUUCGUGCAACCACCAGAUGAUUUCAAAUUUAAGAGUCAGAGAAUCUAGAGGAGGGCCCAAAGGGCUAUAAGACACUGAAUGAGAGGCAUCUUCAUAGAUUAUCAAAGAUUUUUCAAGUAACCAGUAUUUUUGCUAUGAGCUUCUUUGCUGCAAACAUUUUUGCACCAUGACUAAUUGGCCAUAAGACAAUUUUGUCACAAAAGAUAAAAUAACUGGAUGACAGUUUUUGCUUUGAUAGUCUGGUCUUGACAGGCAUGUCUCCCAGUUAGUGACAUUACUGAUGGUUUUAAUGAACUGACAGAUAAUGAUGACUGGCCCCAUGAGGUGGUUUCUUAUUUUGAAACAAACUACACUGGAGGAUAAAUAGGCCAAAAGUCUCAAAGGUGCAGAGCUGAACCCACAUUUCCUAUACAACUAUGGAAAGUAUGAACAGACAUAUGACAAGAUGCCAAGAACAAACAAUAGUGGAGAGGCUUUCACGAUGUGAUACAAAGCAUGGUUACGAACAUGCAUCCUGGUUAUUUGGAAACUGACACCUCUCUCAAUGAAGGAAGAAGUUUAAUAAAAAAGAAAAUGCACAAUGCUGAUGAGGAGAUAAUCAAAAUACUCAAUACUAAGAAUGAAAGACCUGGAAGACAACUGCUUAGGUACAACACACAAAACAUGAAAAUCAGUUAUUUGUGCAGAAUUGCCAUGAACUACACACAUUUUAGAUGUAUUCAAAUAUUUUGUAAUUUGCUUUCAAAUUAAAAUUGCUUUUAAAAAAACUGUCAUUCAUUUAUCAUGUUUCAUUAUGUCCUCUUUAAUAUCCCUCUUUUAUUUUUUACUAUUUUAUCUUUUACGGGAAAAUUGCCUUGCAGUGAAUUAGUAAUUAAGGUGAAAAAUGCUUGCAGCAGAGAUGUCUAUGGCGAAGAUGCUUACAGCAAAAGUACCUAGAAUCAAUUUUUCAUUCCCUUGGAAUAUAUUUUCAAAGGUUUUCUCUGUCACAAUGGGCAGACUUUGAGGUACAGCAGAGUGGAAAAUGUUAAGGCUCAGUGAUUUUUAUUCAUUAAAAUUUGCCCCAAUCAUUGUAUGAUAAAAUCUAAUUAAUACGGAUGCCUAAAUGACUCAAACAUUCCAUACCUGGUUAUUCAACCACAAAUGCCCAAGUCCUUUUUUCCUUUCCCAGGAUCUUCUAGAGUCCUAAAUUAAUUUAAAGUUUUCAGCCCUGAGUACCCCUUUUAUUUCCUGUAUUUGUAAUUCCUGAGGCCUGACCCGAGAACAGAGAUCCCUUCAACUACAUGAUCUAAUUGGGAUAGACCAAAAAGAAGCCCUCACAACUAAUUCUCUAAGAAACCACUGCAGAUGGAAUGGAUAGAUAACACCAAACCUUUCUUCUCUUAGAAAGAUGAUUUGGGGAUGAUCAUUUUUCCAACAGAAUUUAUUCUUUGCCCUUAUUUCUUCUGAAAGCAAUAAAAGUCCUUUUAUAAGCCAGCAGGAGGUAAAGCAUCCUAAACUUGACAAAUCUAACCCCAACUCAUAACACUUAAAUGAUCUGUCAUUUCAGUCAACAGAAACCAGUAGCAACUGAUACUUUUAAAGGAUUAACAACUAUCAAAUGGAGCAACAGAGUUUCCAAAAUGGAAGCUUCUUCUAACCCAUGGCUAGUAGAAGAAAUGGUUUCUUAUGGCACAAACAACUGAUCUAAAUGAACACACAAGUUAAGACAAAUCCAAAACACCUACUGCUGCCUGUAACAGAUUAAAGAUGGUCUCAAAUCCUUGACACAUCUUCCAUCAAGUGGUAAGGUAUCUCCUCUCCCUUCGAAUCUGGGCUGACUAGUGACUUCUUUGACCAAGUGUGUGGUGAUGACUCUUAUGAAAGCUCUGGGCCUGGCCUUGAAGAGGACUUGGGAGGCCUGAGCUGCCAUCUCCUAAAUUUGACUACUCUGAUGGAAAGAUCAGAUGGAGGGUCCCAAGGCUCCAGAGAUGGGGAGGAGGCCUGCUGGGCCUAGUUUUCCAGUCCUCUCUACCAAGGUGUCAGGAUGGUGAGCUCACCUUGGACACCCUGAUCAGUCCAACCACCUGCUGAAUACUAUCAGAUGACCUGAAUCAUCACCACAGGGAACAUGAAACUGCCUAGACAAGCCUUUCCUGAAUUUCUGAUUCACAACAUUAUGAAAUAUAUAAAGCAGUUGCUGUUUUAGGUCACUGGGAUUUAGAGAGUUCAUUACAUAGCGACAGGUAACUGGAAUGCUAUCUUUCAAUUUCUGCCUUGGUAGUAGUAACUCAAGCAGUUGUUCACAAUUAGAACCACCAAAGGGGGGACUCCUCUAAAUUGGUGGGCAAUAUUCCCAGAAAACGUUCACCAUUCAACAUCUGCUCAAAGUCAACUGCAUUAUCUCUUGGAAAAACCUUCCGAUCACUUAUUCCUGAAUUAAAAGUUCCCUAAAAGCA